rnacentral:rRNA from 1 species
GUAGGGAAUCUUCCACAAUGGACGCAAGUCUGAUGGAGCAACGCCGCGUGAGUGAAGAAGGUCUUCGGAUCGUAAAACUCUGUUGUUAGAGAAGAACACGAGUGAGAGUAACUGUUCAUUCGAUGACGGUAUCUAACCAGCAAGUCACGGCUAACUACGUGCUAG